rnacentral:tRNA from 1 species
CGGGAUGUAGCGCAGUUGGCUAGCGCGCAGCGUUCGGGUCGCUGAGGUCGGAGGUUCAAGUCCUCUCAUCCCGACCA